ensembl:lncRNA
CCCUUGCCUUACAGGAGUGACUGAGGAAGUCAUGUGUUCUAGGUGAUGAAGUUCAAGACAGAGAAAGACUAUUCAUGGGGUAUCAAAUUAAAGCAGAAGUGUGAAAUUAACCUCUGUGGGUUACAGCAUAGACAUUGCUGGUUACAGCCCCAUAACCUAACCUGGCCUAAUAGUCAUAGGAGAAUUCCAAGAUUAGUCAGUCUUGAGGUACUCAAGUGUUGAGUCAGCUGAAGGCUCCCUUUUAGAUCCAGUAAGUCAAAAUACUUAGGGAAAGGCCCUAGGAUGUUUUAUUUUUAAUAAGACUAUGCUGUGGCUUGUGUUUAGAUGUCCCCCCCAAAGCCGCAUGCUUUUGCAGAGGUGGCUGAAUCUAGAGUGUGUGAUUGAUUCCUGGUGGGGUAGGCCCAAGGGCACUAGGAUUAAGGGUGUGAGUGCUUCUCACCCUAAGUAGCCUGAAUAAGAUAAAAGGGGCCGGAAGAUGCUGUUAAGGUCACUUGUUGUUUCUGCUGUCUUCCACCACCAUGAACUGUUGCCCCUCUGCCACUCUGCCUUGGAGCCAGCCUAUUACGGACUGAAACCUCUACGAACGUGACCACCAGAAAGGGCCUGCGCCAGUGAUGCCACAGAGUAGGGCUCCAAGGAGAGAAGAUGGAGCACAGCUAGGCCUGCCGUGUCCAGGAAAGAAAGCACUGCCAUGCAAGCUGUUCUCAUUCACCCUGGGACUCAGCCGAGGGCAGGAGCUGAGACUGGCAGCUGCUGGCCAGAUUCUUUCUGAGCAAGUGCUCCUGCUACACAAACUCACUGGUGCUUGGAAACGAAAAGUACCAAGUACGAAGGCAGAGGCUGGAUUGGCACGUGUGGGCAGCGUCCAUCCCAGAGCCACCCGCUACAGUCAGGGAAGGCUUCCCUCGGCAGCUCGCCUGGAGACCAGACACGCCUUCUUCAGUCCUGCCAGCCCCUGAUCUUACAGAAUGAAAGUGCUGCCAUGAUCAUAAGAACAUUUGGCCAGUAUUUCUGCUCACUCCCCGCCCAGGAGCACCCAGGGCUGUCUGAGCCUUUCCCCAGCUCCCCACAGACCCAGCAAGGAGGCUGGAAAGCAAGCACAGAUGACGGAACUGAGAUUUAGCUCCAAGCAAAUCUGAAUUUGAAUCGUGGCCUCAUCACCUGUCAGGCUGAGGACUGGCCUUGGGCAGCAGCAUGGCGGUAGGCCAAGGCGGGAAGAUAAAGAGAACAACUGCGCCAUCUGCUGGGCAUCCUGGACAAGCUCAUCUGCGUCCAGGUGCUGAGGAUACUGUGGUGAACAGCAUACCUAGGAAGGCAGGACCACCAAAAUGCACUGCGGUGAGAGGGAUGAAGAGGAAGAUCCAAGCAGACAGAACAGAUGCAAAAGCCCAUCAAAGCUUUUCCCGAGAGCCCAGGGUCAGCAGAAACCCAGCCUUACAGACACACUUUUUAGAGCUCUUGACAUUUCCUCAAAGAAAGAACGGUCCUCUGUCUUUGAAGAUUGACAUUCUCUGGCACCAAGCGGGAAUACUGCUAGCAAAUCUUUUCCCUUUCUUAAAGUAGCUGUAAAAAGGAUGAUUAAACCAUAGAAAUGGGAGCAUCACUGAAAAAAAGAAGUUUUGUAAAGAUCAGCAUGGUGCAGUUCAGAGUGUUUAGGAUCUAUCAGUAUCUGGAAUCAGCAGAUACAGGUUCAAAAUCAUUCUGUAAAUGUUCCACCACUGGAAAACUUUCAAAAUAUCAGACAGCCA